GAUGAACGCUGGCGGCGUGCCUAAUACAUGCAAGUCGAGCGAAUGGAUUAAGAGCUUGCUCUUAUGAAGUUAGCGGCGGACGGGUGAGUAACACGUGGGUAACCUGCCCAUAAGACUGGGAUAACUCCGGGAAACCGGGGCUAAUACCGGAUAACAUUUUGAAUCGCAUGGUUCGAAAUUGAAAGGCGGCUUCGGCUGUCACUUAUGGAUGGACCCGCGUCGCAUUAGCUAGUUGGUGAGGUAACGGCUCACCAAGGCAACGAUGCGUAGCCAGCCUGAGAGAGUGAUCGGCCAAACUGGGACUGAAACACGGCCCAGACUCCUACGGGAGGCAGCAGUAGGGAAUCUUCCGCAAUGGACGAAAGUCUGACGGAGCAACGCCGCGUGAGUGAUGAAGGCUUUCGGGUCGUAAAACUCUGUUGUUAGGGAAGAACAAGUGCUAGUUGAAUAAGCUGGCACCUUGACGGUACCUAACCAGAAAGCCACGGCUAACUACGUGCCAGCCGCCGCCGUAA
rnacentral:rRNA from 1 species